UACGAAGGGGGCUAGCGUUGCUCGGAAUGACUGGGCGUAAAGGGCGCGUAGGCGGCGCAUUUAGUCAGGCGUGAAAGUCCUGGGCUCAACCUGGGGACGGCGCUUGAUACGGGUGUGCUUGAGUGCGGAAGAGGGUCGUGGAAUUCCCAGUGUAGAGGUGAAAUUCGUAGAUAUUGGGAAGAACACCGGUGGCGAAGGCGGCGACCUGGUCCGUGACUGACGCUGAGGCGCGAAAGCGUGGGGAGCAAACAGG
rnacentral:rRNA from 1 species